GCCUGGGUGGCUCAGUCGGUUGAGCAUCUGACUUCGGCUCAGCUCGGGACCUCACGGUUCACGGGUUCGAGCCCCGUGUUGGGCU
rnacentral:tRNA from 1 species